rnacentral:tRNA from 1 species
UCCCUGGUGGUCCAGUGGUUAGGAUUCUGUGCUUCCACUGCAAGGGUCACAGGUUCCAUCCCUGGUUGGGGAA